rnacentral:tRNA from 1 species
AAUGAAUUGCCUGAUUAAAAGGAUUACCUUGAUAGGGUAAAUUAUGUAAUAUUAAAUUUACAUUCA